GUCUACGGCCAUGCCACCCUGAACAUGCCUGCUCUUGUCUGAUCUCAGAAGCUAAGCAGGGUUGGGCCAGGUUAGUACUUGAAUGGGAGACCACCUAGGAAUACCAAGUGCUGUAGGCA
rnacentral:rRNA from 1 species